AGGAACAAAUGACAAAAAAAAAUCCGUAAAAGAAGACUGCAGGGCAGGCAGCCAGUGAAGAAGAAGGGAGGGGCGAGUCAGAGAGAACAAGUACAACAACAUCGAGACCGAGACGGAACGGAGAACGGCCGCAGCUCAAACACCAGGCAAGCCCAACCCGACAGCAGUCAGCAACCUCGCACCACCACCUCCGUCGCAGCAUCAGGCCAGCAGCCGCCGGCGCCGGGAGCCGUCGCGAAGCACCCCAGGCCUUGCCCCCUCCUGCAAACGAAGUGUUCCGUGAGAGCACGCUUCGGCGACAUAGCGGCCACAGCUGCAGCAUCCUGUGGAGACCGGCGAGAACAGCACCAGGAGCUGCUCCCGAUCACUCCUGCAACACACGGCCUCGCCCGUGCCUGCGCGCGCGCAGAAGUAGCAAAGUGAUUUUCCAUGAUUGGCAGUGUAGUAUCGGAUUCAGAGUUCUUCGUGGUAUUCUACUUUGCAGUUCAGUUGUAGAUAUAUGGAAUUCUUUUCCUGAGAAAUGCCGUCCUCUACACCACCAUCAGUACAACCCACUCCAAGCCUUCAGACAUUAACAUCUCCUGCAGUAGCCCAGAAUACUCAUAUUGAUGUUAGUGAGAUCAAGUCCAAGAUUUUUAAGAGGAUAGGACAUGAACGAGGAAAUAAAUACUUUCAGCACCUGGAAAGGUUCUUAUCUUCAAGAUUGAGCAAGAAUGAAUUCGAGAAGCUCUGUCUUGUGGCACUUGGCCGUGAAAACCUCCCAUUGCACAACCACCUUAUCUGUUCCAUUCUACAUAAUGCCAGUCGAGCUUGUGGCCCACCUGUAAUUAAUGACCCUAAGCUGGUCAGAGGUGCCACCACUUCUGGCCAUGCAGUUGUUCCUCCUGUCUGGGACAAUGGUGGUGCCUUGAACCUAAAUGCCAAAGAGAAAAAACCAUUAAUCAGAAGGGAAAAUGUACUAACCCAAAAGUCAUCACUGAAUCAUUGUGAGACUAUUAUGCUGGAGAAUGGUGUUCAUCAUUUGAGUGAUCUGAAGAGAUGUACACAAUUUCAAAAAAAAGACCAUGUAGAGCUGCUCAUCAAGCGACCGCGUGUGGAGAAGGAACCAGUCAGUUUACAUAAUUCUCUACACAGCAAUAGGUUUUCUAAGGCUUCAAGAGAAAACCUGGGUCAAGAAAUUAUACACCAAUUCCAAGGUCCAGUUCAAGCACCACUUGGCAUUCAGUUACGUCAUGGCAGUUUUGGUGUGGCCCAAAUACCUUUACCCCUUGCUUCUGUGAGUUCAAAGGAUACCUCUGAUACUUGUAUUGAAGAUGGUGAACUCUGUGAUACUUCGUCAGUGAAGAAAAGGAUGGACAAAGUGGCAGGAGCAAAUGGGUUGGAAGGGGUCUCGAUAGAGUGUGCUAAUUUGUUGAAUAAUGGCAUUGAUGUUUUCAUGAAGCAGUUAAUUGGAUCUUGCAUUGAAUUAGUUAGAGCAAGGUCUCGACAUGGCAAACUAAGGCAUGAGACAUUGAAGCAGCAGCUGUGCCGAAAGCUAAUAAAUGGUGUAUCAGUGCAUAACCAUGUUCCUGGGCAGAGUUCUGUUAUACCUCCAGAGACAAAUUCCAUCUCCAUGCAGGACUUAAAGGCAGUAAUAGAGUUAAACCCUUGUUUGCUUGGGAUUAAUGCAUCACUGCUACACGAAAAGAUCAAUUCAUAUGACUAGUAGGAUGGAGCUAGUUGUAUUCAUCUCGUCACAAGAUCCUAUGAUCUUGAUGGUCUGUCUUGUUUCAUGGCUGUUGUAAUCAAGCCAUAAGUUUAUUGAUGGGUGGCGGUGAAGGCAAGCGCAUUCUGUGCAGUACCCUGAUUGUUUUGCAUGUCAUCUCCAGUGCAAUCUUCCAGAAUGAACAAAAAACUGUGUACCUGCUGGGUGCAGUACUAAAAUAAUUCAUUUCAUCCACCUAAGGAGUAAGGACUACGAUGGGCGAAAGUGCUCCAGAGAUAACUAUGUUGCUGGACUCCAGACAAAUUGAGGAACCAUAUCAAAGAUUUGAUCUAUAGAGAUGCAGGAAAAUAGCAUUAUGAAAUUGGAAGUUUGCAUUUCAUAAUGCUCCUGUCGUGAUCUUUUGACAAUUCAUAAAAAAGAUGUUGAUAGACAGAUAGGGAAUAGAUCUAGGGAGGCGGAUCUAUUUGGAAUUAUUGCAACACAUCUCACUAUGUACAUGGCUCUAUUAAUAGUUGUAGUUAGUUGAUGUAAAUAAUUCAUUCCCAACUAAUAGAGAAGAUACCAUACAGUCCCAUUUGAAGUGAUAAGCCUCAUUAAGCCUUGCCAUAGCACCAACUGUCAGUAUUACUACUGUUUACACAUGAAUAUUCUCAUAUAGCUAUUGAAGUGCUUGACAAAUCUAUUGUACAGCAGUUCUAGUGAGGCAUUGGUUGUCAGGUUAUUACUGCCGACAUAACAAGAGUGACCGACAUUUAACCACUUAGUUCCUUGAUUUAUUGUUACUGAGUUGCUCUCCUAGGUGUUAUGCACAGCACAGCAAUCCUGAACAUUCUGUAUCUUGAUAUGAUAGACUAAUAAAACAAGAGGCUAUGGCAUGAGGGUGUGUACUAAGAAGGUUUGCUGUAGCCCUCCUGUUUGUACGAUUUCCUUUCUUAGAGCAAGUACAAUAAUGAUCUUAUAGCCAAGCUAAUGCUGAUGUUGAGAAGAGAAGAGGCAAGAGCUUAUUUCUCAUGCAAGUGACUUGCUGGGCACGGGAGCUUAUGCGUAGUGGGCCCAAGUAGCAAGUGUAUUGAGAAGACAGAAAAGAGAAUUUGAGACAUUGUACCACAUAAUAAAAAAACCUUUUUAUAUAAACAAGAGACGACUAAUGUAGUAAUGUAUAACAUAGCUCUUAUAACUUGACCUAUAGCCAAGCACUUGACUGUACCAUUGACCUUGCUUUUAAUGAAAUGCCAUGCAGCCUUCAUGCGUUGUUCGAUAAAAAAAUAUUAAAUAGGGAGUUAGUAAAUUUCUGUUUCAUGUUUAAGGGAUUAUUCUCUUUUCUGAGGAUGUAGCGCUAGUAAUGAUAUUUAGAGUAUUACCUCUUGAGUAAAUGUACCCUAGAGAUUGGACCAUUUUUUAUGCAUCAUUUGUUUAAAGCCCACUUAUUGAUAAACAAAUGAUGUUUAUAAGGCAUGCAAUGUUUGAGUCUUUGUAUACAUGCCCUCAGCUUGAUUAAUCUUUUGUACCAUAA